CCUACGGGUGGCAGCAGUGGGGAAUAUUGGGCAAUGGGCGCAAGCCUGAACCAGCCAUGCCGCGUGCAGGAAGACGGCUCUAUGAGUUGUAAACUGCUUUUGUACGAGGGUAAACGCAGAUACGCGUAUCUGUCUGAAAGUAUCGUACGAAUAAGGAUCGGCUAACUCCGUGCCAGCAGCCGCGGUAAUACGGAGGAUUCAAGCGUUAACCGGAUUUAUUGGGUUUAAAGGGUGCGUAGGCGGUCGGAUAAGUUAGAGGUGAAAUCCCGAGGCUCAACUUCGGAAUUGCCUCUGAUACUGUUAGGCUAGAGAGUAGUAGAGGUAGGCAGAAUGUAUGGUGUAGCGGUGAAAUGCUUAGAGAUCAUACAGAACACCGAUUGCGAAGGCAGCUUACCAAGCUACUUCUGACGUUGAGGCACGAAAGCGUGGGGAGCAAACAGGAUUAGAUACCCUUGUAGUC
rnacentral:rRNA from 1 species